rnacentral:tRNA from 1 species
GCCCCGUUAGUUGAAUUGGAUACAACAGCUGCCUUCUAAGCAGUAGGUUACAGGUUCGAGUCCUGUACGGGGUGCCA